GUGCACUCCAUUCGGCGUCUGAGCCCCGUAUAUGAGUUAGGGUUUUCGGUUUUUUCAUUCACAACUUCAACCCUUCCUUUCAAUUUUUUUCCUACCUACCUACCAAUCAACACCUCGCUGGUUGUUGCAGUGGCGUUACACAUGGAUCGGAUUCCGAUCUACACGCCGAUGGUGCUAAUCGGAGGAUUCGAAGCCUGGUGCCACGGAUCUACCUACUGUACAGAGGUGUGGCGAUCGUGUUCGUGUUGCUCUUAAGGUCGCUUUCGGAAGAUCGUUUGUUCAACGAUCGGAGAUUGCAGCACAGAUCGAGUGAAGAAAGCGUGGCUGUGUUCUUCGCAUUCCGAUGUCGGUUCAUGUUGUGGUAUUGAAAUUAUGAUGGGGUUUUUAAUGGGGGAAAUUAUUGUGUUGCGUGGGUUUUAUGAAACAGAGAAGGUUCUGGUAAACUUUGUUAACCGACCUUUGCCAUGGCAGGUGCGCUUGCAUGGCAGGUCAAAAAUAUUAAUAAAAAAUCAAAUAAUUUUUGGUUUUGGGGGAGAUCGCACGGGAAUUCCGGGCUUCUCCCUCUGGUGUGUGUGAUGUUCUUCUUUUUUCUUUUAUUUUUCUUUUUACUUUAUUACCUAUAUAUGCUUCUGCCACUCUCCUUACCACGGAUACAUCGCAGGACUCGCGUUUGUCUUCGAUCUAACAAGGUAUUAUCUAUUACUUUCACAAUCAGGCAUAAGGGUUUUCUUUUUACCGUGCUAAUAAUAGCUAACAACGCAUGUGCAAUUGAUAACAUUAAUGGAAGCAAGUAAUUCGUAUAUGAGAAACGAUUCAAAGAAGUUUAUGUGUUCGAUGCUUUCGAUUUGGGGAAUUCGUAAUUGAAGUGGUAUUAAUUCCAAUUUUUGGGCAUGUUCUUUAUUUACAGAGAUUGUCUAAUGCUUAGUGGAUUUCUUUAAUUUGUGCAUUGAAAGAAUGUAAUAGGAUGUUUUAUGGUAUUUUCUCGACGGGAACAUUGAUCUCAAUAAUAACCUCAUUGUACAAGUUAACUUAUUUUACUUGUUAUUUAAAUUUUCCAACAUUAUUACGGAUUGGCAUUUAAUGUCGUUGAGUUAAUUAUUUUGCUUUUGUGAUAUACGAAUUGUAAUAUGUUUAUUUUGUUCGUUAUAUUAGUUUUUUUGUCCUUUAAUUUAUCAAUUAGAUUUGAUUUGGUUCUCAAUUUUUUUUUGUUUAAAUUGGUCUUCUAAUUUUUAAAAUUAGAGGAUCAAAUUGAAAAAAAAAAUAGAGGAUGAAAUUGAAUCUAAAAAAUAAAUUAGAGGAAAAAAAAUACUAAAUUAAUCUAUUUGGUUUGAUAUUUCAAAAGGUUAAAAUUGCUAAAAAUUAAUUUAGUUCUUAAAAUGUUUUUUUACUUAGACUUGGUCUGGUUCACUUGGUCUUUUAGAUGGUCUCGCCUUAUUCUUUUUACAUGGUCUUGGGUGGUUUUAGAAACACUUUUUUUCCCUUUAUAAAUAUCAAUAUUUCUGAGCCCUCAUCUUAAGAGUUCUUGCUCCCAUGUCUUUUUCCUUUUCCGAGUUCCCAAGCCAUUACUUGAAAAGUUUCCUAGUUCUGUCGCACCAACUAUUGUUGGGAAGAGAGUAUCUUGUUUACAUCUUAAGGGACUUUGGAGGGAUGUGCAUAAUAAGUUCUUGAGGAGAAUGUGAAUUCAUAUACGUAUUGAUCACAAUUCGUGUAUAAGAAGGGAUGUGCUAGUUCCCUAUGGUACAAGAGAUUCAUGAACUCCAAUCUCAAGAACUUAUGGACGUGAUGUGCUAGUCCCUAUGGUACAAGAGAUUCAUCCAACAAUGGGAGGGGCAAUAGAACUAGCAAUCUGUUAGUGAGACUAACCCAAGAAUUCACUAGGGAGGAGAAAGAAAAUGUGAGAAUCACUGGAGACCAAGUCAAAGAUAAGACUCAAUCCAAAAGAUUAAGUGAACAAGAUCAAGUCAAUGUAAAAUAUCUCUCUUGAUAAGCAAUAAGUUAAUCAAUUAAUUAAAGGUAUAUACCUUUUGAAAUAUCAAUACAAUAAAAUCUCUGUUGCUCUUUUCUAGCAUUCCAAUUUCCCAAGUAUUUUGUAGAUUUACAUAAACACUGUUAUGAAGCCUCUGCUGCCAGAAAUGCAAAGUGUAACCGUACCAUGUAUUUCAGUGAUCUUCCCCAGCUUUUCUGUAAAGAAUUACAAAGUUCAUGUCUGCAAAAGGCCAAGUUCAAGGGAAUGUUUUAUUCAUCAAUGUUGAGAAAAAAAGAACAACUAGAAGCAACAGAAAAAGAGCUCCCAAGAUUGGCAACCCUAGUACCACAACUAGAAGCAAAUUCAUAACAAGAAACACUGUUUGUUUGACUGGUGAAGGGGAGUCUCUGGCUCUUGGUUCAACUAUUGGUCCCGUAGGCGGGGAUGAUGGUAGUAAGGGCGACAGACAACGAUGCUUGAUCCCAAAAUAUCAACUAUAUUUUUCUCCUUGAUGAUGUUUCUGGAGUUCACUCCUAGAAUGAUAUCUGUGUAAUUUGGAUUCUAGGUUUUUAAGCCUUCUAUUGUUUUUAUAUAAAAGGGAAAAACAAUGUAAUUUGCUUCUAUUUUUUAAGCCUUCACUUAUCUCAUGAGAGGGGAAUGUAAUUUACUUUAACGAUGUUACAUUAAAUAUGAAUUAAACGGUAUAUCUCAGCAUAAUAUUUACAUGCA